rnacentral:rRNA from 1 species
CAGCCGCCACGGUAACACGUAGGGUGCGAGCGUUAAUCGGAAUUACUGGGCGUAAAGCGUGCGCAGGCGGUUGUGUAAGACAGGUGUGAAAUCCCCGGGCUUAACCUGGGAACUGCGCUUGUGACUGCACAGCUAGAGUAUGGCAGAGGGGGGCGGAAUUCCACGUGUAGCAGUGAAAUGCGUAGAGAUGUGGAGGAACACCGAUGGCGAAGGCAGCCCCCUGGGCCAAUACUGACGCUCAUGCACGAAAGCGUGGGGAGCAAACAGGAUUAGAUACCCCCGUAGUCCCUGUCUCUUAUAC